CCACAUCGUUAAGGUUAGGGCUAAGGUUUUACAACAAAAACAGUUAAGGUUAGGUAACACUCCCACAUCGUUAAGGUUAGGGCUAAGGUUUUACAACAAAAACAGUUAAGGUUAGGUAACACUCCCACAUCGUUAAGGUUAGGGCUAAGGUUUACAACAAAAACAGUUAAGGUUAGGUAACACUCCCACAUCGUUAAGGUUAGGGCUAAGGUUUUACAACAAAAACAGUUAGGGUUAGUUAACUCCCGAAUAGUUGUAGUUCAAGGUAAGUUUAGACAUAAUUUUUUUUCACUCUGGUGAUUCAAACUCACAAGCACUGACUUACAAACCACCUAAUGCAUUUUUGCACAAAUCAGGUCUACAUAAAACACUCAAAAGUGCACAAAUUCCAUGAAAUUCUUUUUACUCUGAUUUGUGUGAAUUAGACCCUGUUGGUAUAUCUGAGUCACAAGCAGACAUCCUUAUAAUAGUUAGUUGUGCAGUGAUGUUGUGGCUACUGCAAGUCUUAAAGCCAUUUUGGAAAACCAACACACUGGUGGUAUGUAUCUGCUGUGUUGGUGGAUAAUUAAAGGGAGUUAAUAAGGGCAACUCACUGCUGGUGUUUAUAGUGUGGAUUAGUUGAGAGAUGAUGACAGAUACUUUCAAACAAAUGGGGCAAGUCUCACUGGCCCUCUAACAGUUUUGCAAUAAACACAGUGGUAUAAUGAAUUAUGUCUGUUGUGCAUCAGAUCCAAUAACUCUUGGAACUUCUUAGAAAAGGGAAAUGUUAGUAUAGUAGUUUGUUCUUACAUCAUCCUCCUUUCAAGUGGUCGUCAUUUGACACGCAUAUGAGGAGAAGAAGGCGUCCCCUCUGAGUCUGUUCACUAGCUCCAGGCAGAGCACUGAAGCAAAACAGUUACAGUUAACUUCUUGCAAAACACAUUUUUGCUGGGAAAGUCAUUUUGGAUCCGAUGGGAAUCUGUGUUUGCUGGACUUGUUUUUGCAUUUUAAUAAAACGUUUCUCAGAACAUGGUGUGACUUACUGACAUUACAGUUUGGAUGCAGCGACGAAUGAAGGAGGAAAAAACUGUUAGAAAGAGAGUAAACAACUUAAGGCUUCCAUUGGUGAAGAGAAUUGAUGGAAGUAUUACCCAGGGUCCUCGUGGGGGCACUUGAGUGUGAAUCGCUAAUCAGGAAGGCCUUCUCUUUUCUAAUCCCUCUUUGAGUGGCCGGCCUGGAAUGAGUACAUCUGGGGAGACUCCCCACUGCUUCUGGCUCUGGAGGUUCUAUUCAGAGCCACAGCCCUCCUGUACCAUUCCCACAGUCCGCUUACACUGUGCAGCACAGCCACGCACACUCACGAGCACGUGCACACACACAACACACACACACACACACACACACACAGGCAUGUACAGACACACACACACACAUUUCCUGCUUCAACCAAAUUAGAUUAGACCCUUUCCUUUUCUCCCUAGCAAAGCACUGUCCUUUUCUCUGCCCAGAGACCUUCUCCUACCCUUUUGUCUCUGUUCCAAAAUAGAGAAACAAGUUCCCAAACAAACCCCCCCUAUGAAAGUUCUGGUAUAGAAACAGGCGAGCGAAAGGCAGCCAUCUUUGAAUGGCCUUAUUUGAUUUCAUAAUAUCAAUACCCCAUUUGUUCAACUACCCUAAUGAGGAUGUUUUGUGGCUUGGUUGGCAGAGCAGUGAGAACAAGGCCAGCUGCGCUGCAUGUCAACCUGUUAGUUCACAGGGAAGGGAGCCCCCUUCGUUCACUAUUUCUGAGUGUCUCUUCAUUCUAUUCCCUAAUAUUGUCUUACGUUUUCUUCUCUUUGCUCAUAAAUCAUUCAGUGAAUACAUUUCAACUCAUUCAUUAUAUCCUGUCCAUGUUAACUGCGCUGUUUGUGAUUGGUGGAUGUGUACCUUCAUACACCGCUGUCCUGUGAUGUGUUCUCUUCUUCAUUCAUCAGCUGGGGAAACUCACAAUAUCAAAAUCUAUGUUGGAGUUUCAGAGACCCUCUCAAUAAAGGAAAAGAUAUAUGAAGACUCUGUUCCUGUUGAGUGUGCAGCCAAAGCCAUCCCAAAAGCAGCAAAUUGAGAUCAAAGCUAAAUUAAAGCUGACUCGUUCAAAGACAGAUAAAAAUGUGUGAGCCUGCAGCCAUGUUUUCACUAUUGAUUUCCUUCUCUGCCUGCUCUCCCUGGAACAGGGUUGGCUCUGUGCAGGGCUGGGAGGCUGCCUGGUGCUGAGAGAGAGAGAGAGUAAAUGAUUAUUGAUAAAGUCUCAACAACGAUAAUGAUGAUGACUAGAUAGUUAUCAUGCUGAGAGUCAUUGAGAUGACUGUUCUAUUUUAUAUGUAUGCCAUUGCCAUAGUUUCCCUACAGCUUGCUGUGAUGGUGCAUCAGUGGCCAUGUUAUGUUUGAUAUGUGUGUAUGGUCAAUGCCAGCAUCCAGGUGUUCGUUGAUAUCCAGAAAAUUAUAAUUUGC
ensembl:lncRNA